UACAGAGGCCUCGAGCGUUAGGCGGAAUCACUGGGCUUAAAGCGUGUGUAGGCGGAUGCCUAAGUACCUUGUGAAAUCCCACGGCUCAACCGUGGAACGGCUGGGUAUACUGGGCGUCUUGAGCCAGCUAGGGGCGACCGGAACAAAUGGUGGAGCGGUGAAAUGCGUAGAUAUCAUUUGGAACGCCAAUGGUGAAAACAGGUAGCUGGGGAUGUGCUGACGCUGAGACACGAAAGCCAGGGGAGCAAACGGG
rnacentral:rRNA from 1 species